UAAAUUGAGAGUUUGAUCCUGGCUCAGGACGAACGCUGGCGGCGUGCCUAACACAUGCAAGUCGAGCGGAGAAUGCGGAUAUGUUUACAUAGAAGCGUUCUUAGCGGCGGACGGGUGAGUAACACGUGGGUAACC
rnacentral:ncRNA from 1 species